ACGAACGCUGGCGGCGUGCUUAACACAUGCAAGUCGCACGGAAAGGCCCUGCUUUUGUGGGGUGCUCGAGUGGCGAACGGGUGAGUAACACGUGAGUAACCUGCCCUUGACUUUGGGAUAACUUCAGGAAACUGGGGCUAAUACCGGAUAGGAGCUCCUGCUGCAUGGUGGGGUUGGAAAGUUUCGGCGGUUGGGGAUGGACUCGCGGCUUAUCAGCUUGUUGGUGGGGUAGUGGCUUACCAAGGCUUUGACGGGUAGCCGGCCUGAGAGGGUGACCGGCCACAUUGGGACUGAGAUACGGCCCAGACUCCUACGGGAGGCAGCAGUGGGGAAUAUUGCACAAUGGGCGGAAGCCUGAUGCAGCAACGCCGCGUGCGGGAUGACGGCCUUCGGGUUGUAAACCGCUUUCGCCUGUGACGAAGCGUGAGUGACGGUAAUGGGUAAAGAAGCACCGGCUAACUACGUG
rnacentral:rRNA from 1 species